CGCGGCCUAUCAGCUUGUUGGUGAGGUAAUGGCUCACCAAGGCGACGACGGGUAGCCGGCCUGAGAGGGCGACCGGCCACACUGGGACUGAGACACGGCCCAGACUCCUACGGGAGGCAGCAGUGGGGAAUAUUGCACAAUGGGCGAAAGCCUGAUGCAGCGACGCCGCGUGAGGGAUGACGGCCUUCGGGUUGUAAACCUCUUUCAGCAGGGAAGAAGCGAAAGUGACGGUACCUGCAGAAGAAGCGCCGGCUAACUACGUGCCAGCAGCCGCGGUAAUACGUAGGGCGCAAGCGUUGUCCGGAAUUAUUGGGCGUAAAGAGCUCGUAGGCGGCUUGUCACGUCGGGUGUGAAAGCCCGGGGCUUAACCCCGGGUCUGCAUUCGAUACGGGCUAGCUAGAGUGUGGUAGGGGAGAUCGGAAUUCCUGGUGUAGCGGUGAAAUGCGCAGAUAUCAGGAGGAACACCGGUGGCGAAGGCGGAUCUCUGGGCCAUUACUGACGCUGAGGAGCGAAAGCGUGGGGAGCGAACAGGAUUAGAUACCCUGGUAGUCCACGCCGUAAACGGUGGGAACUAGGUGUUGGCGACAUUCCACGUCGUCGGUGCCGCAGCUAACGCAUUAAGUUCCCCGCCUGGGAGUACG
rnacentral:rRNA from 1 species